CUCUACGGCCAUGCUACCCUGAACAAACCCGAUCCCAUCUGAUUUCGGAAGCUAAGCAGGAUCAGGCCUGGUUAGUACUUGGAUGGGAGACCGCCUAGGAAGACCAGGUGCUAUAAAUG
rnacentral:rRNA from 1 species